UUAUAAAUACCACCACCUAGCUAGCUUUAAUUCAAACCAAUUCAAUCCAAAAAAUCACUUCUCUUUCUCUUAAUUGUGUUGUGAAAAAAAAAAUGGAGAUUCAACAAAUUAUUACUUUCUUCCUCUUUAUCUCUUUCCUCUUUUUUCUAAUUCACAAAUUGAGAAUUAAAACCAAAAAAAGUCGCAACAAAAAAAUAUUACCACCAGGACCUUGGAGGUUACCAAUUAUUGGUAGUGUGCACCACUUAACAAAAGGAAUACCACACCAUGUUCUCAAAAACUUGUCACAAAAAUUUGGCCCAAUUAUGUACUUACAACUAGGGGAAGUUCCCACUAUAGUCGUAUCCUCACCACACAUGGCACAAAAAAUCAUGAAAACUCAUGACCUCGCUUUUGCAUCAAGGUCACAAACCAUGUUGGGAAAGAUCUUUUGUUAUGAUUGUACGGACAUUGCAUUCUCUCCAUAUGGUGAAUACUGGAGACACAUGCGUAAAUUGUGCAUCAUGGAGCUCCUCAGUGGUAAGAUGGUCAAGUCAUUUAGUCCGAUUAGACUAGACGAGCUUUCAAGCCUCGUAUCGUCUAUUAAAUCGAUGGAGAACACGCCCAUCAACGUGUCAGAAAAACUUUUUUGGUUUAUGAACUCUGUGACAUGUAGGUCAUCAUUUGGGAAAGCGUGUAAAGAUCAAAAUGAGGCAUUUUUAACUAACAAAACAUAAUGUUGUCUCACUCCCAUACUAGUAAAAUAAGAAAGUACCUUUCUUCAAUAUCUUCAUUCUUUGGUUUUCCACAUUACAAUUAGAAUAUCAUUUCUAUUGAACACAGCUCAUCCCUUUGUUUGGACUAAAUAUGAAAGAAAAAACAAAACUAAAGCAGUGUUUGGUUGACUUGUAAUAAAAAUAUUGAUUACACCAUGUGAAUUAUUUGUUGAAGAUAUUAUAAUUUGUUGAAGAACUAGUGUGUCCUAUUCAAACUCAAAUUUAUAAAUACCACCACCUAGCUAGCUUUAAUUCAAACCAAUUCAAUCCAAAAAAUCACUUCACUUUCUCUUAAUUGUGUUGUGAAAAAAAAAAUGGAGAUUCAACAAAUUAUUACUUUCUUCCUCUUUAUCUCUUUCCUCUUUUUUCUAAUUCACAAAUUGAGAAUUAAAACCAAAAAAAGUCGCAACAAAAAAAUAUUACCACCAGGACCUUGGAGGUUACCAAUUAUUGGUAGUGUGCACCACUUAACAAAAGGAAUACCACACCAUGUUCUCAAAAACUUGUCACAAAAAUUUGGCCCAAUUAUGUACUUACAACUAGGGGAAGUUCCCACUAUAGUCGUAUCCUCACCACACAUGGCACAAAAAAUCAUGAAAACUCAUGACCUCGCUUUUGCAUCAAGGUC
rnacentral:lncRNA from 1 species